rnacentral:lncRNA from 1 species
CAGAAUGUCUCUAAGCCGAGCUGACAAAGGCAGCAAGACUGGAAGCAGUCCACUCACUCUGUUCAAUAUCCACCAGUUCCUGCUGCAAGUGACUUGGGGGCAAACACUUCUGAGUAGCACUAGCCAGAUCCUUUCACUGCUUCCUCUACAUUCUGUUUCUUUUCCUAAUGCUAAGGAUGCUCUAAUUUUCCAUUUUGGAAGCACCACUGAUGUAUCUGGAAGUCUUAGACCCACUAAUGCUUUCAUACUUCAAUUGGAGACUUCUUUUUAACCUCCUCCCUCAGUGACUUGAUUAUGAAAUCUUCUAUUGAUUCUUCAUCAACUUGAUGAUGGCUGUCUAAUCUCUUUGUUCUUUCCCUUUUUAAUUUCAGAAGUACCUCAGAGACCAGUCCUGUCUGACAUGUCGCUUGCCCCAAGAAAGACAGCCAUUCUGAAAAAAAAAAAAAAAAGAAUUUUUCUAGAUGCUUCAGUUUCAGAUAAAUUCCUUAAAUGUGGCUGGUGACUUUGACAGUUAUGGUAGUAAUGAUGACUACAAGAACUGUGGCAGAGGGUGACUUUCUUUCAAUGUACUGGAGCAUCAACAGAAAGAAAAUGAAAAGG